rnacentral:lncRNA from 1 species
AUGAGUUGCAGACUGGGUGAGUGUAAUUCUGGGAGGACUCAGGGAGCAGAGCAAACGACAUCAGGGACAGCGAUAAGAAGAACGACAGCAGAAACAAUAAUCCAUGUUCCUUUCAGCAGCAACACGUCUGCAGGAUUUUCAACACAACUGACUUGUCACCAUGGAAGCCACCCUCUCUCCCCUAACCUCGUUGUACCAGUCCUGGAUGAGGGGCUUUUGGGAAAGAGAAUCUUCCCCCACCUCCAGUAGCGUGACUGGUUCCUCCGUGAGUAGAACAGUCUGAUACCCAGAUAAUCAGGUGUGUCAUUUUCUCAUAAACGUGUGAAUAGAGGGACAUGAGGGAGAUUCCUUCUCCCUAAUUACUAAUGCCUGAAAUUGGACCUUUGGAACAGUCUGUCCCUUAUUAAAAUGCAAAUACCUGUUUUGAUUCAUUUACACCACAGUACGAACCUUUUAGUUCAUCGUUUCCAUGAAAACUAGUCUCUGAGAGGUUACGCGAAUGUAGUUAGCUUGAUAGCAAAGGCAAAGUCCUUCAUAAUAUCUAGUCUUUAACUCCAAUUCCAGCUUCAAUUGCCUUUCUUUACUCUCCACCCUGACACUCGCCACCAAACUCUGGCCCACACCAACAACUUCUACUAUCUUAAUAUUUCCUCUGCCUGGAGUAACCCCCACAUCUUCUUUUUCACUGGAUUCAAUCAAAAUUCAGUAAGGAUGCCACCUCCCUCCAGUAACCCCGGCUCUCCGCUCACCCACCAUCACACACACAGCUCUAUCGUCCGGCUUAGGUGACCAGCCCUUGUGCUAUUACAGCAGCUUGUUUCGGAUCUGGCUUUUCAUCUGUAUUUAUAAUUAUGCAUUUAUUAUAGAAGUUACAUAUGAUUAUGGUUGGCAUGUCAUUAUAUUUCAGUGACACAAAAAUGGUAUUUACCUAAUAAUAGUGAUAGUAGUAAUAAGUACACAAAGUUAAAAUACACAAACAGUACAGAAGAUUAUGAAAUGAAAAAUAGAAUAUUUCCAUAUCCCUCCCACCAGUCUUAAACUCCAGAGGUAAUCUCUGUUAACAGUUUCUUAUGUAUUUUUCAAAAAAUGUUUGAUGCACAUUCAAGAAGAUACGUAUAUGCUUUGUUUUCACACAAGACAGGAUCACACUCUUUUGCAUCUUGCUUUGUUCAUUCUAUAUAUUUUGGAAAGCUUCCCUUAUCAGAAUAUAUAUUUAUUCUAAUCUUUUUUUUGUCUUUUUAGGGCUGCACCUGUGGCAUAUGGAGGUUCCCAGGCUAGGGGUUGGAUCAGAGCUACAGCUGCUGGCCUACGCCACAGACACAGCAAAGCCAGAUCCGAGCCGUGUCUGUGACCUACAUCACAGCUCAUGGCAAUGCCGGAUCCUUAACCCACUGAGCAAAGCCAGGGAUCGAACUUGUGUCCUCAAGGAUUCGUUUCCACUGAGCCAUGACGGGAAGUCCAACUCCAUUAUAUAGUAUUCAAAGGCUGGAGGUAUCAUGUUUUUCUUACCUAUUGAAGAACUGUCUCCCUCUUUUUUUCUGUUAUUUUGGUUUGUUACCCUUGCUCUUGGUUUGGUCUGGUUUGUUGCUAUUAGAAACAAUGCUGCAAUGAACAAUCCUGCAAUAUUCUUCCAAAUGUAUAUUUGCAUGUCUAUAUUCAUAUACCCUUAGCAUAAAUUCUUAGAGGCACAACUGCUGGGUUAAAAGGUAUGGCCUUUUAUGAUAUUUUAUUUUAUUUUACUUUAUUUAUUUAUUUUUGUCUUUUGUCCUUUUUAGGGCCACACCCACGGCAUAUGGAGGUUCCCGGGCUAGGGGUCCAAUUGGAGCUGUAGCCACCGGCCUACGCCAGAGCCACAGCAACACGGGAUCCAAGCCACAUCUGUGACCUACACCACAGCUCACGGCAAUGCUGGAUCCUUAACCCACUGAGCAAGGCCAGGGAUCGAACCUGCAACCUCAUGGUUCCUAGUCGGAUUCGUUAACCAUUGCACCACCACGGGGACUCCUACAAUCUUAAUAAACAUGUCAAAUUGCCCUCCA